UGGGGAAUAUUGGACAAUGGGCGAAAGCCUGAUCCAGCCAUGCCGCGUGUGUGAAGAAGGUCUUCGGAUUGUAAAGCACUUUAAGUUGGGAGGAAGGGCAUUAACCUAAUACGUUAGUGUUUUGACGUUACCGACAGAAUAAGCACCGGCUAACUCUGUGCCAGCAGCCGCGGUAAUACAGAGGGUGCAAGCGUUAAUCGGAAUUACUGGGCGUAAAGCGCGCGUAGGUGGUUUGUUAAGUUGGAUGUGAAAUCCCCGGGCUCAACCUGGGAACUGCAUUCAAAACUGACUGACUAGAGUAUGGUAGAGGGUGGUGGAAUUUCCUGUGUAGCGGUGAAAUGCGUAGAUAUAGGUAGGAACACCAGUGGCGAAGGCGACCACCUGGACUAAUACUGACACUGAGGUGCGAAAGCGUGGGGAGCAAACA
rnacentral:rRNA from 1 species